rnacentral:rRNA from 1 species
AUUGAACGCUGGCGGCAUGCUUUACACAUGCAAGUCGAACGGUAACAGGCCUUCGGGUGCUGACGAGUGGCGAACGGGUGAGUAAUGCAUCGGAACGUGCCCAGAGGUGGGGGAUAACGCAGCGAAAGCUGUGCUAAUACCGCAUGUGAUCUGAGGAUGAAAGCGGGGGACCAGGCAGCAAUGUUUGGCCUCGCGCCUUUGGAGCGGCCGAUGUCGGAUUAGGUAGUUGGUGGGGUAAAGGCCUACCAAGCCGACGAUCUGUAGCUGGUCUGAGAGGACGACCAGCCACACUGGAACUGAGACACGGCCCAGACUCCUACGGGAGGCAGCAGUGGGGAAUUUUGGACAAUGGGCGCAAGCCUGAUCCAGCAAUGCCGCGUGCGGGAAGAAGGCCUUCGGGUUGUAAAACGCUUUUGUACGGAACGAAAAGGUUCUGGCUAAUACCUGGGGCUGAUGACGGUACCGUAAGAAUAAGCACCGGCUAACUACGUG